GGGGGAUUAGCUCAGCUGGGAGAGCGCCACGUUCGCAACGUGGAAGUCGAGGGUUCGAGUCCCUUAUCCUCCACCA
rnacentral:tRNA from 1 species